rnacentral:rRNA from 1 species
UAGGGAAUCUUCGGCAAUGGGGGGAACCCUGACCGAGCAACGCCGCGUGAGUGAAGAAGGUUUUCGGAUCGUAAAGCUCUGUUGUUAAGGAAGAACGAGUGUGAGAAUGGAAAGUUCAUGCUGUGACGGUACUUAACCAGAAAGGGACGGCUAACUACGUGCCAGCAGCCGCGGUAAUACGUAGGUCCCGAGCGUUGUCCGGAUUUAUUGGGCGUAAAGCGAGCGCAGGCGGUUAGAAAAGUCUGAAGUGAAAGGCAGUGGCUCAACCAUUGUAGGCUUUGGAAACUGUUUAACUUGAGUGCAGAAGGGGAGAGUGGAAUUCCAUGUGUAGCGGUGAAAUGCGUAGAUAGAUGGAGGAACACCGGUGGCGAAAGCGGCUCUCUGGACUGUAACUGACGCUGAGGCUCGAAAGCGUGGGGAGCGAACAGG